GACGAACGCUGGCGGCGUGCUUAACACAUGCAAGUCGAACGGAAAGGCCCUGCUUUUGUGGGGUGCUCGAGUGGCGAACGGGUGAGUAACACGUGAGUAACCUGCCCUUGACUUUGGGAUAACUUCAGGAAACUGGGGCUAAUACCGGAUAGGAGCUCCUGCUGCAUGGUGGGGGUUGGAAAGUUUCGGCGGUUGGGGAUGGACUCGCGGCUUAUCAGCUUGUUGGUGGGGUAGUGGCUUACCAAGGCUUUGACGGGUAGCCGGCCUGAGAGGGUGACCAGCCACAAUGGGACUGAGAGACGGCGCAGACGCCUACGGGAGGCAGCAGUGGGGAAUAUUGCACAACGGGCAGAAGCCUGAUGAAGCAACGCCGCGUGCGGGAAGACGGCCUUCGGGUUGUAAACCGCUGUCGCCUGUGACGAAGCGGGAGUGACGGUAAUGGGUAAAGAAGCACCGGCUAACUACGUG
rnacentral:rRNA from 1 species